rnacentral:snoRNA from 1 species
CUGCAUCCACUGAUAGACCUUGAACAGUCUGCGGUUGUUCUUUUGGUUUGCACUAGGAUGCAAAAGAAAAAUCCCUGCGCUUCCUGUCUGUCUUUGUGGCAGCCCAGAUUGAAUAGGGGAAUACAUUU